rnacentral:rRNA from 1 species
UGGGGAAUAUUGGACAAUGGGCGAAAGCCUGAUCCAGCAAUGCCGCGUGUGUGAAGAAGGUCUUCGGAUUGUAAAGCACUUUCGACGGGGACGAUGAUGACGGUACCCGUAGAAGAAGCCCCGGCUAACUUCGUGCCAGCAGCCGCGGUAAUACGAAGGGGGCUAGCGUUGCUCGGAAUGACUGGGCGUAAAGGGCGCGUAGGCGGAUUGCGCAGUCAGAUGUGAAAUUCCUGGGCUUAACCUGGGGGCUGCAUUUGAGACGCGUAGUCUAGAGUGUGAAAGAGGGUCGUGGAAUUCCCAGUGUAGAGGUGAAAUUCGUAGAUAUUGGGAAGAACACCGGUGGCGAAGGCGGCGACCUGGUUCAUGACUGACGCUGAGGCGCGAAAGCGUGGGGAGCAAACAGGAUUAGAUACCCCCGUAGUCC